ACCGGAGAGACUAACAGGAUUCCCCUAGUAACUGCGAGUGAAGCGGGAAAAGCUCAAAUUUAAAAUCUGGCGGUCCUUGGCCGUCCGAGUUGUAGUCUGGAGAAGUGCUUUCUGCGCUGGACCGUGUAUAAGUCUCUUGGAACAGAGCGUCAUAGAGGGUGAGAAUCCCGUCUUUGACACGGACUACCAGUGCUUUGUGAUGCGCUCUCAAAGAGUCGAGUUGUUUGGGAAUGCAGCUCAAAAUGGGUGGUGAAUUCCAUCUAAAGCUAAAUAUUGGCGAGAGACCGAUAGCGAACAAGUACCGUGAGGGAAAGAUGAAAAGCACUUUGGAAAGAGAGUUAAACAGUACGUGAAAUUGCUGAAAGGGAAACGCUUGAAGUCAGUCGCGUUGUCCGGGACUCAGCCUUGCUUUCGCUUGGUGCACUUUCCGGAUGACGGGUCAGCAUCGAUUUUGACCGUCGGAAAAGGGCUGGAGUAAUGUGGCACCUCCGGGUGUGUUAUAGACUUCAGUCGCAUACGGCGGUCGGGAUCGAGGAACGCAGCGCGCCGCAAGGCAACACGCUUAGGAUGCUGGCAUAAUGGCUUUAAACGACCCGUCUUGAAACACGGACCAAGGAGUCUAACAUACCUGCGAGUGUUUGGGUGGAAAACCCGAGCGCGUAAUGAAAGUGAAAGUUGAGACCUCUGUCGUGGAGGGCAUCGACGCCCGGACCUGACGUUCUCUGACGGAUCCGCGGUAGAGCAUGUAUGUUGGGACCCGAAAGAUGGUGAACUAUGCCUGAAUAGGGUGAAGCCAGAGGAAACUCUGGUGGAGGCUCGUAGCGAUUCUGACGUGCAAAUCGAUCGUCAAAUUUGGGUAUAGGGGCGAAAGACUAAUCGAACCAUCUAGUAGCUGGGUCCUGCGU
rnacentral:rRNA from 2 species